CGGCCUUAAUUCCAUCUACGUUUCUUUGAGUUUGACGGCUAUGACGACUAUCGAUCUUCUUCUAUUCUCUUCUAACCGAUCGAUUUAUGAUCUCCACUAAUGGCGCUUCAAUGCGUCGUUCUGUCGUCGAAAUCUCCAUUCCUCUUUUAUAAAUAUAGUCCGGUAGGUGUUCAUCGGUUGUGGAGGCUCGGUUGCUGAGGUACUGGGAGGCGAGGAAUAUCAAGCGUGGUGGAGUCUCCACCGUGGAGAGUUUAUGUGGGUUGAUAUACUCAUAGUUGAUGUUAAUGCAACCAUGAUGCAAGACAUGAUCCUUCAGAGCAAUGAAGACAGAAAAGAGCAAAACUAUUACUGGGUGAAUGAAGUGGUCAGAUGUGAAGGCCGAGUAACAGCAGUGAGCGGGUGUCAUAGUCCUAGCUACAUGAUUAUCAGACCGAGAAGUACAAGAAAAGAUCCGGCUCUAUUGUCUAAAGAAGAGACUGCGAUGCCCAAAGUUUGGACACAAAUAUCUCUCCAGAGGAUGUUUGAUAUGGCUAAAGAAAGCACAACUCUGCGGCAGAGCUUGGAUCCUAUGCUUUGCUAUUUUACCUCUAGACGCCAGUGGACUCCUCCAAACAGUCUUCUAUGAUAGUUCUGUCUGAUGCUACAUAAUUGACGGAAACCUCUGGGAGUCAGCAGUUGAUGUUAUCCUCUGCUGUACGUCAUCUUGACAACAAGCAUGGUUCCAAUGAUCCUGAACUCAAAGCUUACAUCAUACAAGUUGCUGGCUGUCUAGCAAAGCUGAUUAAGACUGUUUAUUGAAGACUGUCUCCGGGAGAUAGCUAAAGGAAUUGGAAAUACACAGCCGAGAAGGAUGGCGUCAAGGUGGAUAUGAAUCUAGCUGAAAUGUUACCAUCAAUGAUGAAGUUUACUGAACGAACAGUGAGCCACGAUCUGACAUUAAUGCAACACCUAUAAAAAGGCUUGGUUUUAUAUGUCCAUAUCAAGACUCAACAAAGGUGUGGGGUGUUCAGAAAUUGAAAAUGUGACGGUCUCUGAGCUAAAACUUUACGUUCUGUAUAUUCUCCCCCAUAAGGCAUUCCGUUCCUGUUCCAUUCUGCUAAAUGUUAUCUCAAGUGUUGCAUUAUUAACAUUUGUAGACUUAAUACACUGGCGAGGCCGAUAAGAGUGGUAAAUAAUAAGAUUUUUUUAUUUUGUUUUUUAAGUUUUUCUAUGAAUGUAACAUUGUUAAUGUCUUCACUUGGUAUCAAGGUCAGAGAGACAGUGUGAGAGUAUCAUUGUACUGGAUUUAGUUGUUGGAACCAUCCACACCCAUUCUUGGUACAUUGUAAAGUGGUUGGUGUUGUUUAUUGGUUUGGUUUUUAAUUUC